rnacentral:tRNA from 1 species
GAAGGAAUAGCUCAAUGGUAGAGUGCUUGCUUAGCAUGUGCGAGGUCCUGGGUUCAAUCCCCAGUACCUCCA